rnacentral:rRNA from 1 species
AUUGAACGCUGGCGGCAUGCCUUACACAUGCAAGUCGAACGGUAACGGGCCUUCGGGUGCCGACGAGUGGCGAACGGGUGAGUAAUACAUCGGAACGUGCCCGAUCGUGGGGGAUAACGAGGCGAAAGCUUUGCUAAUACCGCAUACGAUCUACGGAUAAAAGCAGGGGACCGCAAGGCCUUGCGCGGACGGAGCGGCCGAUGGCAGAUUAGGUAGUUGGUGGGAUAAAAGCUUACCAAGCCGACGAUCUGUAGCUGGUCUGAGAGGAUGAUCAGCCACACUGGGACUGAGACACGGCCCAGACUCCUACGGGAGGCAGCAGUGGGGAAUUUUGGACAAUGGGCGCAAGCCUGAUCCAGCCAUGCCGCGUGCAGGAUGAAGGCCUUCGGGUUGUAAACUGCUUUUGUACGGAACGAAAAGCCUUCUUUUAAUACAGGAGGGUCAUGACGGUACCGUAAGAAUAAGCACCGGCUAACUACGUG